GUGAGCGUAGCUCAGUUGGUAGAGCAUCAGAUUGUGGCUCUGAGGGUCGCGGGUUCAAGCCCCGUCGCUCACC
rnacentral:tRNA from 1 species